GCCGAAGUGGCGGAAUAGGUAGACGCGCUGGUCUCAAAAACCAGUGAGGGCAACCUCGUACCGGUUCGAUCCCGGUCUUCGGCA
rnacentral:tRNA from 1 species